rnacentral:rRNA from 1 species
CCUACGGGAGGCAGCAGUGGGGAAUUUUGGACAAUGGGCGCAAGCCUGAUCCAGCCAUGCCGCGUGUGGGAAGAAGGCCUUCGGGUUGUAAACCACUUUUGUCAGGGAAGAAACGGUCUGAACUAAUACUUUGGACUAAUGACGGUACCUGAAGAAUAAGCACCGGCUAACUACGUGCCAGCAGCCGCGGUAAUACGUAGGGUGCAAGCGUUAAUCGGAAUUACUGGGCGUAAAGCGUGCGCAGGCGGCUUUGCAAGACAGAUGUGAAAUCCCCGGGCUCAACCUGGGAACUGCAUUUGUGACUGCAUGGCUAGAGUACGGUAGAGGGGGAUGGAAUUCCGCGUGUAGCAGUGAAAUGCGUAGAUAUGCGGAGGAACACCGAUGGCGAAGGCAAUCCCCUGGACCUGUACUGACGCUCAUGCACGAAAGCGUGGGGAGCAAACAGGAUUAGAUACCCUGGUAGUCCACGCCCUAAACGAUGUCAACUGGUUGUUGGGAGGGUUUCUUCUCAGUACGAGCUACGCGUGAGUGACCGCCGNGGGAGGUACGGUCCGGCGAGUUAGUUAACGUACGAAGUUAGUAGUUGACGGCGUGAGACGNGCGACGGACGACGACGAGGGAGGAGG